rnacentral:rRNA from 1 species
AUUUUGGAGAUGUAUAGCAAUAGCUGAUUGCACCAACAAACAGUUGAUGCAAAAUUGAUUAUAUCAAAUAAAAUUCUAGGUAGAUUUUUGAUAAUGACAUUGCUUACCUAAGUCUUGACCAAAUUACGUGCCAGCAGUCGCGGUAAUACGUAAAAGACUAGUGUUAUUCAUCUUUAAUUGGUUUAAAGGGUACCUAGACAGCGAAUAAAGCCAUAGUAGGGACUAAUUCGCUAGAGUUACUUAUGAGGGGGUAUUAAAGUACUGCAGGUGUAGAGAUGAAAUUUUGUUAUACCUCUUCUCGUUUGAGAAACUAUGGCACAGGUAUAGGUGAAAGCAUCCCCUUAUGUGAUAACUGACGUUGAGGGACGAAGGCUUUGUGUCGCGAACAGGAUUAGAUACCCCAAUAGUCAAAGCAGAAAAUGAUGAAUGUCAUAGAUUAGAUAUGCAAUUUAUUCUAUAGAUGAAAGUGUAAGCAUUCCACCUCAAGAGUAAUUUGGCGGGGUUGGGAACUGAAAUCAUUAGACCGUUUCUGAAACCAGUAGUGAAGUAUGUUGUUUAAUUUGAUGAUACGCAAAAAACCUUACCACAAUUUGAAUAUUUAUAUAUAUCUUUCAUUGAUUUAUACUAACAUAUUUGUAGACAAUUAAAAUGAUGCCUAUGUCCCGGUUUGGUGAGACUAAGCAUCAAAAAAAGAUAAUAUAUUUUACAAGCGUUGCACGGCUGUCUUCAGUUUAAUGUCGGCGAGAUUUGGGUUAGUUCCAUUAAAUUAACAGUAAACGCUUACUUUUAUUUAUAUAUAAAGGAAGUUCUGCCGCUAUAUUGGGAUAUGAUAACCUGGGAACUAAGGAC